GGGGAAUAUUGCGCAAUGGGGGGAACCCUGACGCAGCCAUGCCGCGUGAAUGAAGAAGGCCUUCGGGUUGUAAAGUUCUUUCGGUAUUGAGGAAGGUUGAUGUGUUAAUAGUACAUCAAAUUGACGUUAAAUACAGAAGAAGCACCGGCUAACUCCGUGCCAGCAGCCGCGGUAAUACGGAGGGUGCGAGCGUUAAUCGGAAUAACUGGGCGUAAAGGGCACGCAGGCGGUUAUUUAAGUGAGGUGUGAAAGCCCCGGGCUUAACCUGGGAAUUGCAUUUCAGACUGGGUAACUAGAGUACUUUAGGGAGGGGUAGAAUUCCACGUGCAGCGGUGAAAUGCGUAGAGAUGUGGAGGAAUACCGAAGGCGAAGGCAGCCCCUUGGGAAUGUACUGACGCUCAUGUGCGAAAGCGUGGGGAGCAAACAGGAUUAGAUACCCUGGUAGUCCACGCUGUAAACGCUGUCGAUUUGGGGAUUGGGCUUAAAGCUUGGUGCCCGUAGCUAACGUGAUAAAUCGACCGCCUGGGGAGUACGGCCGCAAGGUUA
rnacentral:rRNA from 1 species